GUGGGCUGUCUGGUUAUCAUUAGUAGAAGUAGAUAUUGUAGUAGUAGUAGUAGUAGUAUAAGAGACUGUCAGGUAGUGAGGGAAAGUGUGGGAAGGUCUGCGUUGAGUGUGGACUGUCUGGUUAUCAUUAGUGGAAGUAGAUAUUGUAGUAGUAGAAGUAGUAUAACAGAUGCGUCAGGUAGUGAGUGGAAGAGUGUGGGAAGUCUAUGUUGAGUGUGGACUGUUGUUAUCAUUACUAUUAUUAUUAUUAGUAGUAGAAGUAGUAGAGGCGAAUGAGUUAUAGAGAUGGAGGAGUGCGGAAGAUUUGUGGUUAAUGUGGUGAAUGUGUGGUGUUUACGAGUGACUGUCGAUGAUGGAUGGGUGGCUACAGUGAGUGAUAUGCUUUAUUUUUUAUUUAUUUAUUUUAUUUUAUUUAUUUAUUUAUUUAUUUAUUUUUUCAUCUAAGGACACGGCUUUACAAUUGAUGGCAUAGCAGGUUAGCAUCAUGUGGUAUUCUUGGUCUGAUAGUAAAGGGAUUUCGGAUAGUGCUAGUCUUCUUUGAUUGAUAGUGUAGUGAGUUAAGAGUAGUGUUAGCCUUCUUCCCCUGAUAGUAUUGUAAAUUAAAAUAGUGUUACUUCGAUUGAUAGUACAGCAAAUUAAAAUAGUGUUAGCCAUCUUCCAAUGAUAGUACAGUAGGGUAGGGUAGGUUAGACAAGGUUAGGUUAGGUUAGAUAAUGUUAAAGUAGGGUAGGAUUGGUAAGACAAGGCAGGGUAGGUUAGAUAAGGUUUGGGUAAGUUGUAUAAGGUUAGGUUAGGUUAGAUAAGGUUACAUUAGGGUUGGUUAGGUUAGACAAGGUUAGAGUAGGUCAGAUAAGGUUUGGGUUGGUUAGAUAAAGUUGGAGUACGUUAGAUAAGGCUACAGUAGGGUAUGUUAGGUUAGGUUGGAUAAGGUUAGGUUAGGUUAGAUAAGGUCACAGUAGGAUAUGUUAGGUUAGGUUAGGUUAGAUAAGGUUACAGUAGGAUAUGUUAGGUUAGGUUGGAUAAGGUUCGGGUAGGUUAGAUAAGGUUACAGUAGGGUAUGUUAGGUUAGGUUACAGUAGGGUAGGGUAGGUUAGAUAAGGUUUGGGAAAGUUAGAUAGGGUUAGGGUAGGUUAGAUAAGGUUACAGUAGGGUAUGUUAGGUUAGGUUACAGUAGGGUAGGGUAGGUUAGAUAAGGUUUGGGAAAGUUAGAUAGGGUUAGGGUAGGUUAGAUAAGGUUACAGUAGGGUAGGGUAGGUAAGGUUUGGGUAAGUUAGAUAAGGUUACAAUAGGUAGGUUAUGUUAGGCAAGGUUUGGGUAAGUUAGAUAAGGUUACAGUAGGGUAGGUUAUGUUAGGCAAGGUUUGGGUAAGUUAGAUAAGGUUACAAUAGGGUAGGUUAUGUUAGGCAAGGUUGGGAUAAGUUAGAUAAGGUUACAAUAGGGUAGGUUAUGUUAGGCAAGGUUGGGAUAAGUUAGAUAAGGUUACAAUAGGGUAGGUUAUGUUAGGCAAGGUUGGGGUAAGUUAGAUAAGGUUACAAUAGGGUAGGUUAUGUUAGGCAAGGUUGGGGUAUGUUAGGCAAGGCUACAAUAGAGAAGGUUAGCCUUGAGAAAGUUUGGUUAGGUAAGAACUGGGUAUGGUAGGGUAGGGCAAGAUAACUAGGAAUUAGGUAAGGUAGGCUAUAGUCACAGUGGAUAUGGUCUAAUAGGGAGAGUAUAGUAGACAUGGUUCUAUAGAGUUGUGUUAGGGUAGAUUAGUAUAAAUAUAGCUGUAGUUGAUAUUAUUAGCAAAUAUUAUUAUUUCAGAUUACGUUCUACUGUUAAAGUAUUUGGUAUUAAUGGGUGUGGUUAUGUAAGGUUAAGGUAUUGGGUAGAAGGUGUUAGUGAUAGUAUUGUUAGAGUAAUUAGAAUAGUGUAAGUAUAUAUAUAAUGUUAGUAUUUAUUUAUUAUUUAUUAUUGGUGUUAGUGGAAUGAUAUGAUUGAGAUAAAUGAGUUGGGUAAUUAGAGGAGUUGAGUGUGUGUGUGUGUGUGUGUGUGUGUGUGUGUGUGUGUGUCCGGGGGAGUUUUAAGUUAAAUAAGAAAGAAUAUAUUUGUGUUGCCUGAG